rnacentral:tRNA from 1 species
CAGAAAAUAGUUUAACAAAAACAAAAACUUUGGGAGUUUUAGACUUAGGCACUCUAAUUUUCUGA